UCAAAUUGUGUUCUGAAAUAGAAUACGGGUUCUUUACCGACUGAAUUACGUUCAUGUGACAUGCGUUUAUAUGGACACAACCGACCUGUAAAGGCUUUAUUGCUCCUAAGCCGUCAGUCGUGACGCAAACAAAACAUUUGUGCCAACAAACUGAGUGAUUUACGAGUAUUAUAUGCGAGCUGUCGCACGCCGAGUCGUACAGCCGUCAAAACAGAAGGAGCAGCAUGUACAUCUACCUAGCGAUCGCAUUCUUGGCGCUCAGCGUGUGUGUGGUCAGUGGCCAAUUGGGAGGUUAUGGCAUCCUGCCUUUCGACAUUAGCAGUCUUACAUUUUGGCUGACUCGCCGAGAAGCAGAAGAGGAGUAAGCCGUUGCGCCGCACCUACUGCGAUUGUCCCGUCAGCCGCCCUACACGACUCCACUAGCUCUGGGUUCAGGACUGACCCUUGGACAACUCAUGUAAUCAAACAGACAAUAAAUUGCUAAGCAACA